rnacentral:rRNA from 1 species
CCUACGGGAGGCAGCAGUAGGGAAUAUUGCUCAAUGGGGGAAAACCUGAAGCAGCAACGUCGCGUGGAGGAUGAAGGUUUUCGGAUUGUAAACUCCUUUUGUUAGAGAAGAUAAUGACGGUAUCUAACGAAUAAGCACCGGCUAACUCCGUGCCAGCAGCCGCGGUAAUACGGAGGGUGCAAGCGUUACUCGGAAUCACUGGGCGUAAAGCGGGCGUAGGCGGGAUAGCAAGUCAGAUGUGAAAUCCUAUGGCUUAACCAUAGAACUGCAUUUGAAACUGUUAUUCUAGAGUAUAGGAGAGGUAGGUGGAAUUCUUGGUGGAGAGGUAAAAUCCGUAGAGAUCAAGAGGAAUACUCAUUGCGAAGGCGACCUGCUAGAACGUAACUGACGCUGAUGCGCGAAAGCGUGGGGAGCAAACAGGAUUAGAUACCCCAGUAGUC